rnacentral:rRNA from 1 species
AGAGCACUGUUUGGACGAGGGGCCCCUCUCGGGUUACCGAAUUCAGACAAACUCCGAAUGCCAAUUAAUUUAACUUGGGAGUCAGAACAUGGGUGAUAAGGUCCGUGUUCGAAAGGGAAACAGCCCAGACCACCAGCUAAGGUCCCAAAAUAUAUGUUAAGUGGAAAAGGAUGUGGCGUUGCCCAGACAACUAGGAUGUUGGCUUAGAAGCAGCCAUCAUUUAAAGAGUGCGUAAUAGCUCACUAGUCGAGUGACACUGCGCCGAAAAUGUACCGGGGCUAAACAUAUUACCGAAGCUGUGGAUUGUCCUUUGGACAAUGGUAGGAGAGCGUUCUAAGGGCGUUGAAGCAUGAUCGUAAGAACAUGUGGAGCGCUUAGAAGUGAGAAUGCCGGUGUGAGUAGCGAAAGACGGGUGAGAAUCCCGUCCACCGAUUGACUAAGGUUUCCAGAGGAAGGCUCGUCCGCUCUGGGUUAGUCGGGUCCUAAGCUGAGGCCGACAGGCGUAGGCGAUGGAUAACAGGUUGAUAUUCCUGUACCACCUAUAAUCGUUUUAAUCGAUGGGGGGACGCAGUAGGAUAGGCGAAGCGUGCGAUUGGAUUGCACGUCUAAGCAGUAAGGCUGAGUAUUA